rnacentral:rRNA from 1 species
UGUGUAGGUGGCUGAGCAAGUCAAAGAUGAAAUCCCGAGUCUCAACUUCGGAACUGUCUUUGAAACUGUUCGGCUUGAGGACAGUUGAGGAGAGCGGAAUUCCCGGUGGAGCGGUGAAAUGCGUAGAUAUCGGGAGGAACACCAGAGGCGAAGGCGGUUCUCUAAACUAUUCCUGACACUGAGACACGAAAGCUAGGGGAGCGAACGGGAUUAGAUACCCCGGUAGUCCUAGCCUUAAACGAUGGACACUAGAUGUUCCUGCUUUUAUGCGGGAGUGUCGAAGCUAACGCGUUAAGUGUCCCGCCUGGGGAGUACGGUCGCAAGGCUGAA